GGUGAGUAACACGUGGGCAAUCUGCCCUUCACUCUGGGACAAGCCCUGGAAACGGGGUCUAAUACCGGAUAACACUCCUGCCUGCAUGGGCGGGGGUUAAAAGCUCCGGCGGUGAAGGAUGAGCCCGCGGCCUAUCAGCUUGUUGGUGGGGUAAUGGCCCACCAAGGCGACGACGGGUAGCCGGCCUGAGAGGGCGACCGGCCACACUGGGACUGAGACACGGCCCAGACUCCUACGGGAGGCAGCAGUGGGGAAUAUUGCACAAUGGGCGAAAGCCUGAUGCAGCGACGCCGCGUGAGGGAUGACGGCCUUCGGGUUGUAAACCUCUUUCAGCAGGGAAGAAGCGAAAGUGACGGUACCUGCAGAAGAAGCGCCGGCUAACUACGUGCCAGCAGCCGCGGUAAUACGUAGGGCGCAAGCGUUGUCCGGAAUUAUUGGGCGUAAAGAGCUCGUAGGCGGCUUGUCACGUCGGAUGUGAAAGCCCGAGGCUUAACCUCGGGUCUGCAUUCGAUACGGGCUAGCUAGAGUGUGGUAGGGGAGAUCGGAAUUCCUGGUGUAGCGGUGAAAUGCGCAGAUAUCAGGAGGAACACCGGUGGCGAAGGCGGAUCUCUGGGCCAUUACUGACGCUGAGGAGCGAAAGCGUGGGGAGCGAACAGGAUUAGAUACCCUGGUAGUCCACGCCGUAAACGUUGGGAACUAGGUGUUGGCGACAUUCCACGUCGUCGGUGCCGCAGCUAACGCAUUAAGUUCCCCGCCUGGGGAGUACGGCCGCAAGGCUAAAACUCAAAGGAAUUGACNNNGCCCGCACAAGCAGCGGAGCAUGUGGCUUAAUUCGACGCAACGCGAAGAACCUUACCAAGGCUUGACAUA
rnacentral:rRNA from 1 species